GUUGCUACUGUAAUUGGAGCAGUAUCUAGCUUCAUUGCUUACCAGAAGAAGAAACUCUGUUUCAAACAAAGUGCAGAUCAAGAGAAUGUGAAUAUGGAAAGCCAUCGUGGAGCACAAUCUGAGCCACCCGUACAGCGCACGCUUCUGGAGAACUAAAUCAAGGAAAACGUGAUGAAGAAGAGACCAUUAAAACUGGAUAGAGAGCCUGCUUUCUGCCUGAAAAAAAAAGAAAACCAAAAAGUAUAAUGUAAACAACAGAGUCUGAAGAUGAAUGAGAAAAUAGUCCUUGUUUGAAGCAUCUUUGGGAGUGUGACUUAAAAGACCUGAGUACUUCU
rnacentral:lncRNA from 1 species